AAACUCAUUCUUAUAGAAGCGGAAAGGGAGUAACUCUUAACAAGUACUCCGCCAAAAGCACACAACGGUCUUGUCGACAACCGGUUCAUUUUCCAAACUAAACACCUAAUCCUUUCGUUCUUCAGAGCCAAACCAAUUCCUUCCAGCCUUCAUCAGCAACGAAAUGAAGAGGCAGCGAUUCAAGCGAGUAGCGAAAUCCACGAAACCGAUUCAACCAACCGAACCCGGCAUCGACGACCCGGAAACUAGGGCGAGUGAGCGCCUGAAAUCUGUAACCGUUGGAGCCAAACCCAAGUCCCGCCAACCCCAACCCAAAAUUCUGUCGCUUCCUCCAAUCCCAAACCCAAAUUCACUGUCUUUUGAUAAAAUAAGAAUAUUGCCGCCUCAGUUCUUUCAUAUUGACGCUCUUGAUCUUGCUCCUCGCUUGCUUGGCAAGUUCCUGAGGAGAGAUGACGUUGUUCUUCAGAUUACUGAGAUACUCAUCGCUAUGUCCAUUCCCAUUAUAUUCAUGGAAACGGCAACGUAUUACCCGAUUAGAGUCAAUUUCAAGAAAGUACCAAUUCAAUUUAAAGCCCGUCUUUCCAUGAAAAAUCUGACCCUAAUGCGAUUAUCCCCAAGUGUAAUCCUUCAUAAGAAUUUCAGAUUCGAAGUUCCUAAAUCAUUUUGUGAAGCUGUUAUUGUUCAUUCGCGAGUUCAAAUGGCAACGAAGAACUAUCAAUCACAAACAUCAACGGCGGAGAUUUUGAACAAGGAAGAAGAUGGAGAAAAGUCGCCUCCUCCACCACCUCCGCCGCCGGAGCAGCCGGAGCCUGGUGAUUGUUGCGGAAGCGGAUGUGUUAGGGACGGGAGGGUGCAAGAGAAGGAUAUGAGGAAUGAUGGAUUGACCAAGAUAUUGUUGGUGAUGCAAAGUGAAAGAGAUGGGAUUCUGUGAAAAAUGUGUAGGGAAUUGUUUAAAGUAUUGAGAUAUUGAGAAAUUGGUUGAAGCUUACCGGCCUAAUGAUUCAGCUUGUCAUGGUAGAUUUGGGAUUACUGCAAGAACAGCUCCAGUUGUAAGAAUACACUAUAAAGAUUCAUUUGAACAAUGACAACAUUCUUAGAUUGUAAAUGAUUUCGAAUUUUGAAUUUUGGUAGUAAUUUUUGCAUGUAAUUCAUUUAUCUGGAUAUAGUUUGGACCGGGAGGGCAUGCAUAUGUUUAUCUUUGCUAUGGUCUCCAUACAAUGCUAAAUGUUGUUGCAGACAAUGAAGGAGUUGGAGCUGCAGUCCUGAUUCGCUCCUGUGCUCCCAUUAGAGGACUAGAUACCAUUCAGCAGCGACGAGGUCAGAAAACUGACAAGCCUGUUCUUCUUACUGGCCCCGGAAAGGUUGGU